GCUUGAGUUCCGUUUUGAGUUUGACCUUGAAGGUUUCGUCUUCAACCUCAAAUCAAAAUCUGGAAGCAGAAAAGAAUUCAAAGACCACACCGUUUGGGGAUUUUUUUUUUCUGGGUUAAAAUGGCUAUCUUUUACUUCUCUUUCAUUCUCUGCUUCUCUUUCUUCUCUUCAUCACUCUCUAUUCAUUCUAUAUCCAUCACUGAUUCCGCUUCACUGUACCUCUCACCCACCAUAUUGUUCCCAGAUUAUCAGAAAAUGCUGAAAUCUUUCAGAAUUUACAUGUACACACCUCCCAAGCCUUUCUCUUUCACAUCUCCAGUUGAGUCUCUUUUCUUCUCUUCUCUUAAAAAUAGCCCCUUUGUAACCCAAGACCCAGAAGAAGCUCACCUCUUCUUCGUGCCCUUCCCUUCCGAUCUCUCCACGCGCUCGAUUGCCCGCGUAAUUAGAGACCUUCGAAUGGAGUUCCCCUACUGGAAUCGUACUCUGGGUGCCGAUCAUUUCUAUGUUUCUUGUGCUGGUCUUGGCUACGAAUCGGACCGAAAUCUCGUCGAGUUGAAGAAGAACUCGGUGCAGAUCUCUUGCUUCCCUGCACCGGACGGUAAGUUUGUUCCACACAAGGAUAUAACGUUGCCUCCGCCAGCGAAUACUCACGCAACACAAGCGCCGGCAAACAGAACGGCGAGGUAUCGAGGUUUUGUAAAAUACAAUGGGGUUAAAGAGUCAGCCCUAAUCAACGACUUGAGAAGCGCUUCUGAUUUUCUUAUGGAAACUGAGCCGUCCGAUGAGAAGACUUUGGUGGAUAGAUUUGCGAAUAGCGAGUUUUGUUUGUUCGAAUACGGAGCCGAUACUUCGGGGAUAGGAGAAGCGCUGCGUUUUGGGUGCUUGCCUGUGGUGAUUACUGACCGUCCAAUAAAGGAUUUGCCGCUGAUGGACGUGUUGAGAUGGCAGGAGAUUGCGGUGUUUGUGGGGUCCACUGUGAAUACCAAUAGUGGGCUUAAAGGAGUGAAGCGUGUGCUGGAUCGCACGUGCAAAGAUGAUACGUGCGAGGAAAUGAGGAGAUUGGGUGUGGCGGCGAGUCAUCAUUUGUUGUGGAACGAAAAACCGGAGCCGUACGAUCCGCUCCACAUGGUUGUGUAUGAGCUUUGGCUUAGGCGGCACACUAUUAGAUAUGCACGGAGAGAAUGGAUUUAAGCCUUUUUUAUGAAAUUAUUUAUAAUUUUUUUUUAAUGGAA
rnacentral:misc_RNA from 1 species